UAAAGGAGGAGGAGAGAAGAAGAGAAGAAAGAGGGAGGAGGAAAAAAUAAAAAUAAAGAAGAGCAAAGGAAGAAGGCACCACCACAAAAAUUUGAUUUCGUUCAUUCCAUGUACCUGUUUUUAUUGCCAUUUUCCUCCUAGUUAAACUCGUUUUUAGGCUGUGUUUUCUUCAUGAAAGUUGUAGAGGGUGUCAAGACCUUCGAUUUUGACCCAAGAAUCACCCAAAAUGGUCAAGAAUCGAUAGAGUUAUCGCUAUUCAAAGUUUGGUAAAAUUCUCGGAUCCUGAUUUCCAGGCAGAUUCAGCAACUCUUCUAAACUUCCAUUUUUCUCCUACUUAGAGUGGUUUUCGGGCUUAGACCUCUUCACAAAAGUUGUAGAGCGUUUCAAGAUAUUCGUGUUAGACACAAGAAUCGUCCAAAACAGCAGAGGUUUGGUCAAGUUAUUCCAAUCCAAAGUUGCUGCUAGAAUACCAAUCUUUCGCCGCCAAAUGAAAACCCACCGGACUCCACCGAAUCGUUUUGUCCAGAUUAAAGGUAAUCAAGAGACCGAAGAGCAGAAUCAUCUUCAAGAUGAUCAGUAUCAGGGUGAGGACCUCCCAGCUGAGGAAUGGGAGUUUGUCGAGCCUUGGAUACCCUACCCUUAGAAGCUCUGCUAAUUUAAAGUAUUGUUAUUUAAAUUUUCAAAAGUGUUAUCACAUUUGUCAAACUCUGUUUUUAUUUCAUUGGGUUGUAAGACAGUUAAGUUGUUUUGAAUUCGGUAUUUGAGAUUUUUGCUGCUAAA